CGUUGCAUUAUGUCUCAGUAUCCAAUUUCAGGUUUAUAGGAAACAUCUGAGUAUUCUAUCUUCUAAUUGAAUAAUUGUACUUCUGUAAUAUUUCUUCUCAUAGUCUCGGUGUUGGGCCUAGGUAAACACAGUGAUUUUAGCUUCAGUGCUAGUGGAGAGAAAUUAUAUUCCCUCAUGUUUACUCAAUGUUAUUAUUCUCUUUGAGACGGUUCAAUGAGAAGUAGGACUUCCAACAAAAAUUUGUCCCUCCUGCAUCAUGCAAGUGUCUCUUCUUUACCUCAAUUAAUUUUUGAUAUGACAAAGACUCAAAUAAACUGCUGCUGAACUAAAUAGUGUAACAAGUAAAAUGAUAUUUGAUUAACUCCACACUGAAGACUUGUUUAUUAUUUUUUAACGUAUACAGAUCAAGGAAUUCAGAUGUACUUGCACAGAAGUUUCAGCUCAUUCUGCUUUUUCCUUAAACUCACUGAAGGAGAGAUUGUCUCCGGUGACAUCUUCAUGAUUUUAGAAAAGCUGAUGUAGACAGUACUUCUCAUAUUUUUCAUGUAUAACCUCAACUAUUUUGGAGUCAUUGUCAGCAAAAGUAUCUUACAGAAGCAUCAUUUAGGCUGUUCUGUUUUGUCAUGAAAGGAUAAUCAUGGCUUGAGAACAAGAUCCGCUUUCAUCCUUCCUCUAGCUUGUCAGUGCUGCAACUACUUCUUCCUUCAGGCUAAAAUACUGUGAUACAAAAAGGUCUUGAAAUGUAAUGUCAUACUGAAGCUAAAGAAUUAUACCUAUUCAAGAUAGGAUUUCAUAUGGGAUUCAAGCUUUUCAGUACUGAACUUCAAGGAGUGGAGUGUAACAAAGAGAAUCUGCAUCAUCACUCUUUCCCACCUGCCCUUAUGUGACAGCCCUCUUGGAGCCUUUUAUUCUCCAUGCUGAACAGCCAUAGCUCUCUCACCCUGUCCUCGCAGGGCAAGUGUUCCAUCCCUUGGAUCCAUCCCAUGGACCAACAGGUCUAUGCCUCUCCUGUUCCCAGGACUCCACAUCUGGCCGCAAUACUCCAGCCUUCGGACUACUAUCCUUCAUUCAAAGAGAGGAGAGAGAAAGAAAAAAAGGAAGCAACUUUCAGUUCCCGGUAGAGCACCUGGAGGAACUGCUGGAUCCAGAUGUUCUUCGUAAACAUCAAAGGAAACACUAUUUUAUGUGAAAGUGGUAUAAUAAAUGAAAUAAGUGAAAACUAUCUGCAAUUCUAAUACAUGCUGAACAUCUGGACUAUUGCAUUUCCUUCAUAUAUGAAUGAGGUCAGUUGGUAUCACCAUGUGCGGUGUUUGAAAAUUGUGAUGCUACUUGUGUUGCCUGCUCCGUAUCCCAAAAAAUCCCAGAGCUGCAUUUCUAAAGACUAACAGUUUCAUUAAAAGAAGAAAAAUUAAAAAGUUGUACUUACAGCCAGAUGUUCAUUUUACAUAACUUUGAAGAAUUUCACCACCACAUGAAAAAUGUCCUUAAAACUCUUCUUCAUUCACCUGGUUCUGCAUGUAUUCUGCCUCUACCAGGGAUAAUUUUAUCCAAUGUUGGCUUCCUUUAUAUCUUUUACUUUCCUUGGAUG
ensembl:lncRNA